CACACUAUGAACUUUUUAAUUUUUUUUUUAUUUUAAAUCAUACAUUUCCAUAUUCAUGUAUAUAAAAAUCGUUACACGAUUGACAAAUUACUUAUGAAAUUCACUUGAAAUGAAGGAUUAACCAAGGUUUGUACCGCAGUGUGAAAUUGAAAAUUACUGUAUAUGUCACGAUCAUAGAAACUAUAGUUUAGUUUCACAAUGCUGUACAUCCUUAAGAUAAAUGAAUAUUUUGUUAUAAUGCACCUUUUGUUUAAAUAAAUGUCAUGACAACCAUGUUGUUAGUAGUAAGUACAUAACGAAUAUAAAAUAUAGCCAAUAUAAUGAUUUUAGUGCUGACAAUAUUAUUGCCUGACAUGCAUUGAGAUAACUCAAAUGAGACUCGUAUAUGUUUUUUAAUAGGAAUGGUUUUUGAGUCCAGGGUUUCCACCCUUUAAUGAAUAUAAAAUUCAAGGACUUUUCCAGGAAUUUCAAAGACGUUUUUUCAGUAAAUUCAAGGACCUAAAACUGGAAAAAUCGUUGAAAAUUAUGUGGAUUUUGCUUUUUGAAACACUACUGUUUAUUCAAAAUCAAAAUUGUAAAUAACAUUAAAGUAUUAUCUGCACAUCUAGAAAGAAAUUCCAGGACUUUCAAGGACCUGCACUAAUUUUCAAGGACUAUCCAGGCCUGGAUUUAGUUUUUUCAAAUUCAAGGAUUUUCCAGGAUUUGUGGACACCCUGUUUCAUAACUGCUAUGAUAUAGUCUCAAAAAAGAGCUUAGAGAACGGUCAUUAUUUAUGGGGG
rnacentral:lncRNA from 1 species